AUUGCUUCUCGGCCUUUUGGCUAAGAUCAAGGGUAGUAUCUGUUCUUAUCAGUUCUAGGAUUUGGAUAUUGAUGUAGGAUGGAUGCUGCAUGGAGGGGGCAGGUGUACCAGGGCGUUCGGGGGCUGGUUCUGAGGAAUCAGCCCGACGGCUGCCCUGAUGUGACCUGUUUCCCUCCGAGUCUC